GUUCAGAUAAAAGGGGAGGUUUCCUUUAUGUCCAGAUAAAAGGGGAGGUUUCCUUUAUGUCCAGAUAAAAGGGGAGGUUUCCUUUAUGUCCAGAUAAAAGGGGAGGUUUCCUUUAUGUUCAGAUAAAAGGGGAGGUUUCCUUUAUGUCCAGAUAAAGGGGAGGUUUCCUUUAUGUUCAGAUAAAAGGGGAGGUUUCCUUUAUGUUCAGAUAAAAGGGGAGGUUUCCUUUAUGUCCAGAUAAAAGGGGAGGUUUCCUUUAUGUCCAGAUAAAGGGGAGGUUUCCUUUAUGUUCAGAUAAAAGGGGAGGUUUCCUUUAUGUCCAGAUAAAGGGGAGGUUUCCUUUAUGUCCAGAUAAAAGGGGAGGUUUCCUUUAUGUUCAGAUAAAAGGGGAGGUUUCCUUUAUGUCCAGAUAAAAGGGGAGGUUUUCCUUUAUGUUCAGAUAAAAGGGGAGGUUUCAGUAUGC
rnacentral:lncRNA from 1 species